rnacentral:rRNA from 1 species
AUUGAACGCUGGCGGCAUGCCUUACACAUGCAAGUCGAACGGUAACAGGUCUUCGGAUGCUGACGAGUGGCGAACGGGUGAGUAAUACAUCGGAACGUGCCUAGUCGUGGGGGAUAACUACUCGAAAGAGUGGCUAAUACCGCAUGAGAUCUACGGAUGAAAGCAGGGGAUCGCAAGACCUUGUGCUACUAGAGCGGGCGAUGGAAGAUUAGGUAGUUGGUGGGAUAAAAGCUUACCAAGCCGACGAUCUGUAGCUGGUCUGAGAGGACGAUCAGCCACACUGGGACUGAGACAUGGCCCAGACUCCUACGGGAGGCAUCAGUGGGGAAUUUUGGACAAUGGGCGAAAGCCUGAUCCAGCAAUGCCGCGUGCAGGAUGAAGGCCUUCGGGUUGUAAACUGCUUUUGUACGGAACGAAAAGCCCCGGGUUAAUACCCUGGGGUCAUGACGGUACCGUAAGAAUAAGCACCGGCUAACUACGUGCCAGCCGCCGCAGUAA